GAGGUAGAGCAACAGGGAUUGCCUCAGUAACGGCGAGUGAAGCGGCAAGAGCUCAGAUUUGAAAGCUAGCAUCUUUGAUGUUCGCAUUGUAAUCUGUAGAGGAGUGUUCGAGCAUAGCUUUGACCCAAGUUCUUUGGAACAAGAUGUCAUGGAGGGUGAGAAUCCCGUUCAUGGUUGUUGUCUUAUGCUUAUGUGAAUCUCCUUCAAUGAGUCGAGUUGUUUGGGAAUGCAGCUCUAAAUGGGUGGUAUAUUUCAUCUAAAGCUAAAUAUCAGCAGGAGACCGAUAGUGCACAAGUAGAGUGAUCGAAAGAUGAAAAGAACUUUGGAAAGAGAGUCAAACAGUACGUGAAAUUGUUGAAAGGGAAGCACUUGCACCCAGACUUGCUUUCAGUUGAUCAACUAUCAUUUUUGAUUGUGCACUUAAUUGUAAGCAGGCCAGUAUCAGUUAGAGUGGUGGGGCAAAGGUGUUGAGAAUGUAGCUCUUUCGGGAGUGUUAUAACUCUUCAUGUCAUAUCAUCUGCUCUGACUGAGGUUCGCACUUUGGUGAGGAUGCUGGCUUAAUGGGUGCAAGUGACCCGUCUUGAAACACGGACCAAGGAGUCUAACAGUUGUGCAAGUGUUUGGGUAUAAAACCCUUAUGCGUAAUGAAAGUAAAUGGAGGUGAGAACCGCAAGGUGCAUCAUCGACCGAUCCUGAUGUCUUCAGAUGGAUUUGAGUAAGAGCAUAGCUGUUGGGACCCGAAAGAUGGUGAACUAUGCCUGAAUAGGGUGAAGCCAGAGGAAACUCUGGUGGAGGCUCGCAGCGGUUCUGACGUGCAAAUCGAUCGUCAAAUUUGGGUAUAGGGGCGAAAGACUAAUCGAACCAUCUAGUAGCUGGUCCGCAAAAUUUUUCUCUCCUCUCUCAGAGAAAGAAAUUCC
rnacentral:rRNA from 1 species